UACAGAGGGUGCGAGCGUUUAAUCGGAAUUACUGGGCGUAAAGCGUGCGUAGACGGUUAUUUAAGUCGGGUGUGAAAGCCCCGGGCUCAACCUGGGAAUUGCAUUCGAGACUGAAUAGCUAGGGUACGGUAGAGGGAAGCGGAAUUUCCGGUGUAGCGGUGAAAUGCGUAGAUAUCGGAAGGAACAUCAGUGGCGAAAGCGGCUUCCUGGACCAGUACCGACGUUCAGGCACGAAAGCGUGGGGAGCAAACGGG
rnacentral:rRNA from 1 species